rnacentral:rRNA from 1 species
GAUGAACGCUGGCGGCGUGCCUAAUACAUGCAAGUCGAGCGAACAGACGAGGAGCUUGCUCCUCUGACGUUAGCGGCGGACGGGUGAGUAACACGUGGAUAACCUACCUAUAAGACUGGGAUAACUUCGGGAAACCGGAGCUAAUACCGGAUAACAUGUUGAACCGCAUGGUUCAACAGUGAAAGACGGUCUUGCUGUCACUUAUAGAUGGAUCCGCGCCGCAUUAGCUAGUUGGUAAGGUAACGGCUUACCAAGGCAACGAUGCGUAGCCGACCUGAGAGGGUGAUCGGCCACACUGGAACUGGGACACGGUCCAGACUCCUACGGGAGGCAGCAGUAGGGAAUCUUCCGCAAUGGGCGAAAGCCUGACGGAGCAACGCCGCGGGAGGGAAGAAGGUCUUCGGAUCGUAAAACUCUGUUAUUAGGGAAGAAAAAAUGUGUAAGUAACUAUGCACGUCUUGACGGGACCUAAUCAGAAAGCCACGGCUAAAUACGUGC